CGCAGCCACCCCCGGCACGUCCUCUGGAGACUGGCUCACUGCACCCCUCUGUGGAUAAAGCUCAAUAUCCAGUUCAGGAAAUGGGAAACACUGAUAUAUGACUCAUCCCAUGGAACAGAAUAUAGUCUACGUGGAAUGUCACACUGUGCUUCUAGUGGCAAAGUUUGCAUAUAUGUAUGUAUCAGUGUAUCUUUAAAUUUGCCUUUGUGUUGCAAGCACUUGUUAUAUCCUUCCUAUUAUUCCUAUUAUUUAAAUCAAUUUUUAUUUUGCAAGACUACUGGUAAAGAUUUUGGAAUGAAAUGUUUCUGGGGAACCGAGUCACCCUAAUUUAAAAAAUAAAAAUAUCUCAGUAAUUUGGACAAUAGGUUUAAUGUAUGAGGUUAAAUAUAUACCUGCUUAUUAUAAAUAUGCAGAAUCAUUUCUUGUUUAGAAAAUAUUUCAAAUAUUUUAUGGAAUAAUUACAGAUUAUUUGUGUUCAGUUGGCAAUGUUCUAGCCGAACAACUUAUAAUUAAAAAUGUAAAUAAAGAAGUGUCAUUAGUCUAAAAACUUGCAGUUCAUUUUUGCUACAACUUCACUUCAAUUUUGCCCUUUUUGCAACUGCAAUUGCCCCUUCAAUUCGCCAUUUACAACUGCAAUUCAAAUCAAGAUUCUUUAAGUUUUGCUCUUAUACUGAUUUAUCCCACUUAUCUUGCUUUGCUUAACUCAAAUUUGGAUAAUAGGUUUCUGCUCAGCGUUGUUCCUCAUCUGCUUCUGGCUCACACAAAAUUUCAGG
rnacentral:lncRNA from 1 species